ensembl:lncRNA novel transcript
AGUGGCUGGGAGAGCCAGAUUCUUCCUAAAACCUCCAGAGGAAGUGAGGCCCUGCUGAUGCCUUGAUUUUGAACUUCUAGCUUCCAAAACGCACUAUAAGCUGAAACUAGAUGAAGUUUUUAUGAGCAAGUGCCUGAUGUAUGAGCUGCACAGAAAGUUCACCAAACCACCCAAAGCCAUUGCCAUAGGCAUCUGAACUGCAAGCCAGCACAAGAAGUCGAUGCUUUCAUACACUUUCCAAGAUGUCAGAACAAGGUUCCAAAUCAUAAUAAGAAUUCACUCCUUACCUAGAAGUAAAAAAAGAGGACACACUUUUGAACCGCUCACAUGACCACACCAUUCUGCGGGGACGUCCUUGUGUUGAGGGGAGGUCUGAAGUCCAUGGAAGAAGACGCAGUGGCUGCUGGAGCUCGUGCAGAGGAAGGGACCCUCAGAAGGACAGGUGAACUGUCGGUGGCAGGAAAAAUGGUGGGCACAUUUCCAGAAUGACAAAUGGGAGAAGCAAUCGUGACAUCUCCAGGUGGGGGAAGCAUAGGAGGAAGAGGUUGUUCUCUCAGGAAGUUGCCUCCUAGCCUCCAACGAGGCCUUUCCUAUCACUGCUCAUUCUCUUCUGUGUGUGGAUUGGAUACUGCGGUCACCCAGAGAAGCUGGUGCACACCAGGCACAUGAAGGGGCGAUCCUUGUCUCCUUCCGACUCAUGCGCGUGUCUUGAUGUUUAAACUCAGAAGGAUGUUUAAACUCGGUUGUCUAUGAGACAAAAUGGCUAGUUUUUGGAGGGUCUGGGGCAUUACAUUCUGCAGAUUAAGAUUUUUGCCCGAUAUUGGCCAAGUCAAGGAAAUAGAUGCUAAGGCCAAAUGCUUUGAAAAACCACAAACUCCUGUUUCUGUGGGAAAUGUUUGGCCUGUUGAAUCAAACUCAAUAAAGAACAGUAAAAUCUGUUAUUUCAAAAAUUUUUGCUUUUGUAGCUGGUUAGUUGCCUUUCUUUGGAAAACCCUGUACAAUUCCUACAUGAAAUGUAUUCCUAUUGGAAAGAGGUUUUGCCACAAUGAAUUUCAAACUCUAUACAACAAAUUGGUUUAUUCUACAGGAAUUUCAAUAAAAAAGGUUUUUUUGUCCCUUCGAAA